AUUCUAUUAAUUAAAUCCCAGACUGAUUUAUUUUCAAAAGUCAAACCACCCUCUUCCAUUUGUUUUGGUUGGUACCAUCCAAAAAUGGCGGGAUUAGAUCUGUACACCGGUCAUCACAACAGCAGGAAAGGACCCACAUGCAUCUUCCUUUGGUUGUACCCAGAGAUACGGCUUGCAAGAUUCAUCUGAUGGCGGAUACAGGAACCUCUGGCAGAGGGGCCAAUGAACAGAGAGAGGGAAACAAAUCUGCAGGCCAAGUCGCAAAAACAAACUUAUGAACAUCAUUUUUCUCGUGAAUGCAGAACCAGUGGGUGUCGAAAUAAAGAGUCCAGCUGUAUGGGGAGGAGGGCAGCAGACAGCCAGCUGGGCCCAGGGGAGUCUUCACCUGGCUAGUACAGCACUCAUACAUCGCUGACAACACACGUGAAGAAAGACACACUGCGCCCCGAACGCCGGAGCAUGAUAUUGUCUCUGUGCCUCUCCCAGCUUCCUGUCUCCCUAAUCCUUAAUCCUGUGGAAAUCGGUCAGGCAGAAUGAGCCAGCUUUGAUCAGGCUCUCAUAUCAGGCGUGCUAACAGUGUCAGCACACCCGGAUCCCACAGAACCCUGGAGCCCGGGGGGAGAGCUUCAAACAGGCAUUCACCCCCUGACUCUGCUUGAGAGGAAGGGGGAAGAGAGGCUGCAGAGUCCCUGUCUCAACUGCCAGUAUGAGACUCUGCAAAAUUCAAAAAAGAAGUCACAUUGAUGUCAAACAUUUGCAUCAUGAUGUAGCACCUUUCAUCUGUAAUGACACCUUUUCUUUUUUGCAUUUCACACAUGAACUAAAUUUACUGUGGGAAAGGAAAUCAACAGUGUACAGUGUAGCGAUGAGAUGGUCACUUUUUAAAAAUUGUUCAUGACAACUAGCAUUGAUUCUGUGUCACUGGUGAUUUUGUAUUGUGAUACAAGGCUAAAGAUAACACCUGCCUGAGUGGGAGGCAUGUUACAACUCCUGCUGGUCUCGUGGCACUAAUGCAACAUGCAGAAGUUUUGCCUUCCUUGAAAGUAAAGUUGGCAGAGAGCACCAGAAAAUGUCCAGAAACCCAAAAACUGAAAUGUGCUAAAUAUCAGCAAAUGUUCACUUUAA